rnacentral:rRNA from 1 species
CCUACGGGAGGCAGCAGUGGGGAAUUUUGGACAAUGGGGGCAACCCUGAUCCAGCCAUUCCGCGUGAGUGAAGAAGGCCUUCGGGUUGUAAAGCUCUUUCAGCGGGAACGAAACGGUACGCUCUAAUAUAGUGUGCUAAUGACGGUACCCGCAGAAGAAGCACCGGCUAACUACGUGCUAGCAGCCGCGGUAAUACGUAGGGUGCGAGCGUUAAUCGGAAUUAUUGGGCGUAAAGCGUACGUAGGCUGCUAAUUAAGUCUGUUGUCAAAGCCCGAGGCUCAACCUUGGAUCGGCAAUGGAAACUGAAUAGCUAGAGAGAGAUAGGGGCAGGAGGAAUUCCAGGUGUAGCGGUGAAAUGCGUAGAUAUCUGGAAGAACACCAGUGGCGAAAGCGUCCUGCUGGAUCUCAACUGACGCUGAAGUACGAGAGCUAGGGGAGCGAAUGGGAUUAGAUACCCCAGUAGUCCUAGCCGUAAACGAUGGGUACUAGGUGUUGGUCGUAUCGACCCGAUCAGUGCCGUAGCUAACGCGUUAAGUACCCCGCCUGGGGAGUACGGUCGCAAGAUUAAAACUCAAAGGAAUUGACGGA